AGUGGUGCAUGGUUGUCGUCAGCUCGCCUCUUGAGAUGUUGGGUUAAGUCCCGCAACGAGCGCAACCCUCGUUCUAUGUUGCCAGCACGUAAUGGUGGGAACUCAUGGGAUACUGCCGGGGUCAACUCAGAGGAAGGUGGGGAUGACGUCAAAUCAUCAUGCCCCUUAUGUCUUGGGCUUCACGCAUGCUACAAUGGCCGGUACAAAGGGCUGCAAUACCGUGAGGUGGAGCAAAUCCCAAAAAGCCGGUCCCAGUUCGGAUUGAGGUCUGCAACUCCACCUCAUGAAGUCGGAGUCGCUAGUAAUCGCAGAU
rnacentral:rRNA from 1 species